rnacentral:rRNA from 1 species
UACGUAGGGGGCAAGCGUUGUCCGGAUUUAUUGGGCGUAAAGAGCGUGUAGGCGGCCUGACAGGUCUGCUGUGAAAACUCGAGGCUCAACCUCGAGAUGUCGGCGGAAACCGUCUGGCUAGAGUCCGGAAGAGGAGAGUGGAAUUCCUGGUGUAGCGGUGAAAUGCGCAGAUAUCAGGAAGAACACCUAUGGCGAAGGCAGCUCUCUGGGAUGGUACUGACGCUGAGACGCGAAAGCGUGGGGAGCGAACAGG